GGAGGGGUGGCGGAGCGGCCAAACGCACCAGACUGUAAAUCUGGCGCCCGGAAGGGCUUCGUAGGUUCGAAUCCUACCCCCUCCACCA
rnacentral:tRNA from 1 species